UCCACCUUGGCUCAGAUGGUAAAAUAUCUGCCUGCAAUGCAGGAGACCCAGGUUCGAUCCCUGGGUUGGAA
rnacentral:tRNA from 1 species